GUAACAAGGUUUCCGUAGGUGAACCUGCGGAAGGAUCAUUACCGAGUGAGGGCCCUCUGGGUCCAACCUCCCACCCGUGUUUAUUUUACCUUGUUGCUUCGGCGGGCCCGCCUUUACUGGCCGCCGGGGGGCUCACGCCCCCGGGCCCGCGCCCGCCGAAGACACCCUCGAACUCUGUCUGAAGAUUGAAGUCUGAGUGAAAAUAUAAAUUAUUUAAAACUUUCAACAACGGAUCUCUUGGUUCCGGCAUCGAUGAAGAACGCAGCGAAAUGCGAUACGUAAUGUGAAUUGCAAAUUCAGUGAAUCAUCGAGUCUUUGAACGCACAUUGCGCCCCCUGGUAUUCCGGGGGGCAUGCCUGUCCGAGCGUCAUUGCUGCCCUCAAGCCCGGCUUGUGUGUUGGGCCCCGUCCUCCGAUUCCGGGGGACGGGCCCGAAAGGCAGCGGCGGCACCGCGUCCGGUCCUCGAGCGUAUGGGGCUUUGUCACCCGCUCUGUAGGCCCGGCCGGCGCUUGCCGAUCAACCCAAAUUUUUAUCCAGGUUGACCUCGGAUCAGGUAGGGAUACCCGCUGAACUUAAGCAUAUCA
rnacentral:misc_RNA from 1 species